rnacentral:rRNA from 1 species
CGAUGCGUAGGGGUUCUGAGAGGAAGGUCCCCCACACUGGUACUGAGACACGGGCCAGACUCCUACGGGAGGCAGCAGUGAGGAAUAUUGGUCAGUGGGCGGGAGCCUGAACCAGCCAAGUCGCGUGAGGGAAGACGGUCCUACGGAUUGUAAACCUCUUUUGCCGGGGAGCAACGGGGUCCUUGCGAGGGCCCGAUGAGAGUACCCGGAGAAAAAGCAUCGGCUAACUCCGUGCCAGCAGCCGCGGUAAUACGGAGGAUGCGAGCGUUAUCCGGAUUUAUUGGGUUUAAAGGGUGCGUAGGCGGGCUGUUAAGUCAGCGGUCAAAUGUCGGGGCUCAACCCCGGCCUGCCGUUGAAACUGGCGGCCUCGAGUGGGCGAGAAGUAUGCGGAAUGCGUGGUGUAGCGGUGAAAUGCAUAGAUAUCACGCAGAACUCCGAUUGCGAAGGCAGCAUACCGGCGCCCUACUGACGCUGAGGCACGAAAGCGUGGGUAUCGAACAGGAUUAGAUACCCUGGUAGUCCACGCAGUAAACGAUGAAUGCUAGCUGUCCGGUUCUACGGGACUGG